AGGAUUAUGUGGUGCAGAUUAAUAAAUCAUGGAUAGAUCAGAAAAAGCCUACCUGUCAGAAUCUGAUUUAUCAUUGCCUUGAAACAGACUGAGAUACCGAAGAAGAGCGAGACACACACGCAACACAACAGUUACUCGAGAUAUACGGAGGAUCUCAUUACAACAAUGCAGGUGCCUUAGCUCCAUUUGGUCAAUGAUUAACUGACCAUUUGAACUGAUGUAAGAAAAAGAACAGAACAAAAAAGGUACAGUAGUUUUGGUUGUCGUCAGAAAGGCUACAGAGAGCCUAUUUAUGGUGUUUGAAAGGCAGUGGUCCAGAGGCAAUUGGUUUAGUAAAUCCGGGGAAGAUAGGACAGCCGAGCUCGAAGCGCCACAAAUUCCGACCACAAUCUCUCAUUUUGUCUUCGCACCAUGGAACUACGCUUCGACACCAAAUUCAACUGCCUUUUCAGCUCUUCAUUCUUCACUUUCAGCCGGUCGGCUUCAACCGUCAGGCUCUCAAAAUAUCUCAUCUUUCGCAACCUGGGCCGCGUCGCUGAUUCUCGGUUUGACAUCAUUCGAUUCCUUCUCCUCCCGCCGUCGAUCGAAGAGACGGCUUGGCACGAGCCUUGUGAACCUGAGAUCGACCCGCCCGGAUCUUCAAACUGCGACCAAACCUCCUGGCUUUCGGCCGGCGAUAACCCAGAUUCAUAAACGGGCCUAUGAAACCGGACGGCUUCUUCUUCAGAAUAGAACUUUGGGAAAGAGAAUGAGAGAGAAAAUGGGAAGGGAAGGAAGAAAGAGGAGAGGGGUAUAUAAAGAGG